rnacentral:rRNA from 1 species
UACGUAGGUGGCGAGCGUUAUCCGGAAUUAUUGGGCGUAAAGAGCGCGCAGGUGGUUGAUUAAGUCUGAUGUGAAAGCCCACGGCUUAACCGUGGAGGGUCAUUGGAAACUGGUCGACUUGAGUGCAGAAGAGGGAAGUGGAAUUCCAUGUGUAGCGGUGAAAUGCGUAGAGAUAUGGAGGAACACCAGUGGCGAAGGCGGCUUCCAGGUCUGUAACUGACACUGAGGCGCGAAAGCGUGGGGAGCAAACAGGAUUAGAUA